rnacentral:rRNA from 1 species
CUCGGGCCUGGGCGACCAGGUCCGGGUGACGGCGUGCCUUUUGAAGAAUGAGCCGGCGAGUUAGCCGUCUGCGGCGAGGUUAACCCUUCGGGGGAAGCCGUAGCGAAAGCGAGUCCGAACAGGGCGUCCAGUCGCAGGCGCUAGACCCGAAGCCGGGUGAUCUACCCAUGGGCAGGCUGAAGCGAGGGUAAGACCUCGUGGAGGGCCGAACCCACCAGGGUUGAAAACCUGGGGGAUGACCUGUGGGUAGGGGUGAAAGGCCAAUCAAACCCGGUGAUAGCUGGUUCUCCCCGAAAUGCCUUUAGGGGCAGCCUCGGGCGUUCUCCGACGGAGGUAGAGCACUGCUUGGGCUAGGGGGCCUACAAGCUUACCGAACUCAGGCAAACUCCGAAUGCCGUCGGACGAGAGCCCGGGAGUGAGGCUGCGGGGGCUAAGCUCCGUAGCCGAGAGGGAAACAACCCAGACCGCCAGCUAAGGUCCCCAAGUCCGUGCUAAGUGGGAAAGGAUGUGGGAUCGCGGAGACAACCAGGAGGUUGGCUUAGAAGCAGCCAUCCUUCAAAGAGUGCGUAACAGCUCACUGGUCAAGUGGUCCUGCGCCGACGAUGUAGCGGGGCUCAAGCACGGCACCGAAGCUGCGGGAUCCCCCGAACGGCUCGGCGUACGAGGGAGGCCUCGUGCGUCCAGGCCGGGGGAUCGGUAGGGGAGCGUUCCGACGCGGGUGAAGCGGCGGGGGAACCCAGCCGUGGACGCGUCGGAAGUGAGAAUGCCGGCAUGAGUAGCGAGAGACGGGGGAGGAGCCCGUCCGCCGAAAGCCCAAGGGUUCCUGGGGAAGGUUCAUCCGCCCAGGGUUAGUCGGGACCUAAGCCGAGGCCGAGAGGCGUAGGCGAUGGACAACCGGUUGAUAUUCCGGUACCACCUCACCCGCGACCAGGCCGGAUCUGGGGUACUAAGGGAACCCCUCCUUCGGGAGGGGCUACCGACCGACCCGGUGACGGCCAGCGAUGGGGGGACGCAGAAGGGUAGCUCGACCCAGGCGGUGGUCGUCCUGGGGCAAGCGUGUAGGGGGAGGCCCUAGGCAAAUCCGGGGCCUCGUCAACCCCGAGGCGCGAUGCCGAGCCGUUCAGGCGAAGCGAGUGAGCCCAUGCUGCCGAGAAAAGCCUCUAGCGAGUGGGUGAGGUGCCCGUACCCCAAACCGACACAGGUGGGCUGGUAGAGCAUACCGAGGCGAUCGAGUGAACCCUGGUCAAGGAACUCGGCAAAUCGCCCCCGUAACUUCGGGAGAAGGGGGACCCCGGUAGGGUGAAGGCCCUCGCGGCCGGAGCCCGAGGGGGUGGCACAGACCAGGCCCAAGCGACUGUUUACUAAAAACACAGGUCCGUGCGAAGUCGUAAGACGAUGUAUACGGACUGACGCCUGCCCGGUGCCGGAACGUUAAGGGGAUGGGUUAGCCCCUCGGGGCGAAGCUCUGAACCUAAGCGCCGGUAAACGGCGGCGGUAACUAUAACCGUCCUAAGGUANNNNNNNNNNGGGGUCAGCGCGGCCUUCGGGCCGUGCGAAGCUCCGAACCUAAGCGCCGGUAAACGGCGGCGGUAACUAUAACCGUCCUAAGGUAGACGGCCGAGGAUGCGCCCCUCGGCGCUGCCCCUCGCGUCGGCGACGGCGCGAGUGCAGCUGGCUAUAUGCUGGGACACCCGAGGAUCCGGCGGUACUCGCCAUGUCGGUGCCGAACGUUACGGUUGCCGGCAUGCGCAGUGACAACCCGACCGGUGCGGGCGAUCAGCAGGAAAGACCGGGGAUCGAGCAGUGGAUCGUCGGGUUCGUGGACGGCGAGGGUUGCUUCAGCGUCCCGAUCAUCCGCAACCCGGGCUGCAGGCUCGGGUGGCAGGUGCAGCCCCGCUUCGCGGUCGUGCAGGGCCAGCGGAGCGUGGAGGCCCUGUGGAUGAUCCGGGGGUACUUCGGCUGUGGCAGCGUCUGCCGGAACCGGAGGUACGACGACCACCGAGAGGACCUGUUCGCCUACAGGGUCUCUCGGUUCCCAGACCUCCGGGACCGGAUCGUGCCGUUCUUCGAACGGUAUCCACUGGUUACGGCGAAGGCCGAUGAGUUCACGAGGUUCGCGGCGGUCAUCCGGAUGAUGGAGGCCAAGCUCCACCUCUCGGUGGAGGGCCUCGCUCGGAUCGCGGAGAUCGCCCAGACCAUGAACCAUCGGAAGCCGUCUCGGUUCCUGGGAUCCUCAGAGGCCAUACGCCAGCCAGCUCCCCGCCGACGGGGGAGCUGAAGAUAUGGUCCCGCCCCUAUGGCGACAUAGGGAUCAUCGGAGCGAAAUUCCUUGUCGGGUAAGUUCCGACCUGCACGAAUGGCGUAACGACUUGGGCACUGUCUCGACCAGGGACUCGGCGAAAUUGCACUACGAGUGAAGAUGCUCGUUACC